ACAGAUUUAAAAAAAUGGAUUAUUAUUGUAGUUCUCGGACAAAAAGAAGACGAAUUAAAGCCAAAGUUUCUGAGCAUUUAAAGUUUUUGGAAGACUUCAAGGUCAAAAGUGGCACAUUUUCUGAUUUGGAUUAUGCUUCGGAAGUGGACAACCAGAUUUCCAGUGAAGAGUGGAACUUUGAAGCUCAUUUGAGUGAAAAAGAGACUGAUGCAGAAUUUGAAGAUGAACAUGAAGAACAAUCAGUUGCUGGAAGAAAAUUUACUGCCAGUAGCAUUGAAAUAGAUUUGAACAGCACGUCUGAAGAAAUUGAUCGCACACGUACACUUAAAGUAAAGCUUGCUGAUUGGGCAGCAAAUCGAAAUAUCUCACACAGUGCAUUGACAGAGCUGCUACAUAUUUUAGUGCACUAUGGUUUGGAUUUACCCAAGGAUUCUAGAAGUCUUUUGUCAACUCCCAAAACCUUUGAAGUGAAAGAAAUGGGACAUGGUAUUUACCAUCAUUUUGGACUGGCUAAGACACUAACUUCACAGCUUUUAAAUGACUCUCAUCUUUCAGUUGAUACGUUGACUCUCCGGGUGAACAUUGAUGGCUUACCACUCUUCAAAAGUUCAAAAAUGGAGUUGUGGCCUAUUUUGGCCAUGAUUAAGGAAUUUCCAAAAUCUGGUGUGUUUAUCAUUGGCUUGUAUGCAGGUGUGGCCAAGCCUGACUCUGUCACGAAAUACUUGAAAGAGUUUAUUGAAGACCUGAAGUCAAUAACUCAAGAGGGUUUGAAUUACAGAGGAAAACAUUUUAAUGUUGCACUUCCAGAUGCCUUCAUCUGUGAUGCACCUGCUCGGGCAUUUUUGAAAUGUAUCAAAGGUCAUUCUGGCUACAGCUCUUGUGAACGCUGUGUAGAACAUGGAAUUUACAUGGAUAAGAAGGUUGUGUUUCCUGAUUGUACAGCACCUCUACGAACAGAUGAAACUUUUGAACUUUUGACAGAUGAAGACCACCAUCAUGGAGUUUCACCCUUGCAGCAGCUUGGUGUAGGAAUGGUGUCAAGCUUUGUGCUUGACUAUAUGCAUCUGGUUUGUUUAGGACAUGUUAAAAAAGUUAUAAGUUUGUGGAUCAAAGGACCUUUAAGGUGUCGUCUGUCUGCAGUUACCAUUUCAAUUAUUUCUAAUCACUUGAAAUCAGUGAGAGAUCACCUUCCUAGAAAUUUUUCUAGAAAACCACGUUCACUGAUGGAGUACAGUCAAUGGAAGGCAACAGAAUUCAGACAAUUUCUGUUGUACACUGGCCCAGUGGUUCUUCAAGGACGACUAUCAGCACAAAUGUACAACAACUUUAUGUUGCUCUCAAUAGCAAUGACAAUUCUUCUCAGUCCUGUUUUGUGCUGUAAAUACUGUGGCUAUGCUGGAAAACUGUUGAAGUGUUAUGUUACCAAUUUUGCGAAGUUGUAUGGAACAGAACACUUGGUCUACAACACCCACUGUCUCAUACAUUUAGCUGAUGAUGCCAGAAAAUAUGGUGCCUUGGACAAUAUUUCAUGUUUUCCCUUUGAAAAUUAUCUUGGGACAUUGAAGCGACUUGUACGAAGACCCCAAAAUCCUCUCCAACAAGUCGUCCGGCGUUUAGCUGAAAAACCCAUUCUGGGAGAAGAUGGAAGACAGAGUAAAGCUCAAAUUCCACAUUCAUGUGGUCCAACUCUCCCAGACUUUCCUGCUCACAUGCAGUUCAGGCAGUACAGACAUGAGGGAACCGUCAUAUCAUGUUGUGUAGGAGAUAACUGUUUUGAUGUUGAGGGCAGAGUUGCUGUAAUAAGGAAUAUAAUACAGUUGUUAUCUGGAGCCAUGUACACUGUGUGUCAAUUUUAUGAACAACAAGACUGUUUCUGCAGAUACCCUAUUGAUUCAUCUUGUCUAGGAAUCAGAACUAUGACACAACUUUCUGACCAUCUUUAUGGUGUACCGGUGACAAGCCUGACAAAAAAACUGGUAGUCCUUCCUUUGCGGAACGGUCAUGUUGUUUUUCCUCAGUUACAUGACCACUAAUUUACUUAAUAUGAACUUCCAGCAUGUCCUUCAGCGUCGUGGAAUUCAUUGAAGAAUCAACAGAGGGAAAGAAGUUGGUGGAUAUUAUCCCAUCAUGUUGGUUUACUGAUGCAAACAAGAUUCAGUGCUUCUGGCCAGCAGGCCUUGGUAUAAAUGUCACUAAAGCAGUAAAGCAACAACUACAGCCAGAUGCUUCAUGGAAGAUAUGCUGUGUGCGUGUUCUUGGAAAUGCAGGUGACAAACAUUUACUUGUAUGAAAAUUUUGAAAACGUGAGCUUUAGAUUUACAAAUGUGUUAAUCCUUUUUUUUAAAAAUUCUUUUCUAAAGACUGCUAUGGAGAAGCACGACGAAAGCUUGCAAGGGCAGAAGCAACAUCAGAUCUUCAAACAGAUAAUGAUAUCCCAGAAAAGCGACGUAGAAGGUAGUGUGGAACAGGGACUUAUGUAACACACAACUCUAAACCUUCUGUCUUCCUAGUUGUCAUUUGAGCCGCUUUCAAUUCCUUUACCCAUUUGGUUCUCUUUGCUUUACUUUUUUUCUCAUCCUUCAGGACUUAAAGGAACAACAUAUUUGUAAGAAUGGAAAAUUACACAGGAAAAAAUGCUACUACUUGUGAGCUUUACUAUAGAUUUUGCCACAUUCCUACUUUAAAUGAACUAGAUUACUGUUUUUUUAACCAUAUUGGUUGUCAUAGGUUCAACUGUAACGUUUUAUCUUUUGGAUCUUAUUUCUGUAUCUCUCACAGUUAACUUGAAAUAAAAUAGUUAAAUUGCUCACUAGACUAGCCUUUUUGGUUUGUUUUUUUUACCAACUUUUACCACUUGUUAAAUUCUGAUUUAUCAUUUCAGAUCCUCCCACAAAUGGGGCACAUUUUCUUCAAGUGAAGACAGUGUGAACUCCUCAGAGAAUGAAGUUCCACCUUCUCCUCCCUUGGAACUUACUACAGUUGGAUCUGCCUCAAAAGUGUGUAGUCUCGGUGUGUCCAGAAAGAGAAGCCCCAGCACAACUCCAAAUCUGAGAAGCCCCAGCACAACUCCAAAUCUGAGAAGCCCCAGCACAACUCCAAAUCUGAGAAGCCCCAGCACAACUCCAAAUCAGAGAAGCCCCAGCACAACUCCAAAUCAGAGAAGCACAACUGCAAGUCUUUCUAUGAGUCCUGGGACUUCUUUGAGCAGGAGCAGCUCCAGCUUGGGAGAGGCUAUGUUUACUAGGCUGGUUACACUUCUUGAGGAGGUUAGAGAAACACAAAAACUGCACGGACAGUUGUUGAGUACCUUGCUGAGACAGAAAUCUGCUUCACCACCGGUUGAACCACCUGAAGGAGCUGUUUUUCCAAUGUGUACAAUCAAUGAUGUCCUGGGCAUGAAUGAGAAGCUGGGUGACUCAGACUUCAUGUCUGGAGUUGUAAGUUAAAAUUUUGUUCCUUAAAAAUUAACAUUAAAUUAGCCCCAUUGCAGUAAGCAAUUAACUAAUGACAUGAUAAAUUAAAACAAAUUCCCAUAAUUUAUAAUUUUUCUGUUUCUACUAAAAACUGCUUGACAAGUAUUCAGUCUGGUGUUUAGGUCUCAACUUGCCAUUUUUUUGAAGUACACAUUUGUUUACAAAGACUUCAUAAUUGGAUAUUUAAAUUGUCUUCCAGUUGCAAUGCUCAUUGUUCAUUAGAAUUCAAAGUUUAUCAAUCUUUGAGAAUGUGUUCUUACUAUUAUAUUAUUUGAAAAUGGUUGUAAAACAUUUAAUCACAGUAACUUCUUGGAAUUUAUUGUCCAGAAAAAUUUAUUGUGACAGGCCUCCCUUAAAUUGAUGCAUAAAUUAAUUGGCAUUUUGUCCAUGUAUAAAAUUAAGCAUAUAAGCUAUAUAUGUGUGAAACAAUAACAAAUCAAUUAAUAAAAACUAAAUUGCAUCCUGAUUUUCAAAUGUUGUCUUGCAAUUGUCAUUAUAUUUAAGGUUGCCAUGGUUGCAGAAAUUGGAGGAGCAUCCUUGGAUGACGCAAUACGACGGGCUAUGCGAUUCCUGAUGUCCCAUGAAUUAGCAGUCCAGUUCAACCUGUUUGGCCGACAUGGGAAACACCAGUUCCGGGACCUGCGUCUCUUUGAUGUUGUGUAUGGGGCACUUAAAAGAAAUGGUUCCAUCGUUGGACUCACACAUAAAGAUGUGGAAAAGGCACUCUCAAAGUGGUUCACUGGAGCCCGUGACAGAGGUGGGAAUAGGAGAGUUAGAGCAAGUAGGGAGGCUGCCAGUUCUCACUCUGGUGGGCAGGUCUUCCAAGAAGGACAGUUACAAUAAUAUGCGAGCUUUCAAGUGUAAGCAUGCAUGCAGGUUAUUCUAAAAUGUUUUGUGAAAGGUGUGUGUAUGUACCAGUAAACAAGUUUGUUGUUCAAAAAUGCCAUGUGAACAAUUUUGUAGAUUUUUAAUUUUUUUUUGUUGUUGUUGUUUAAGAGCGCCAUUUGUGCUUGUGGCACCUUUUGCUUUGUUAAUUAAGUUCUAAUAAUUGCUGAGGUAUAAAAUAACUUCUGCUUACAAAAUAAAAAGCCUUGACCAAAGGAAAUUUCUUUUUUUCUCUUUAAACAAAUUUUGUGAUAAAGCAUUUUAGGACUUUGGUUUGUUUAAGACUGCAUAUCUAUGAAUGUUAUUCAUUUCAAGGUUAGGUGAGAACAACCCCAUUGUUCCUAUAAGGAUUAAGGCAUCUGGUUCCCACUGAAAACCCAGUCAGGGCCUGUAAACCAUUAUGGGCUAAAGCAUAUGGGCCCAUCAUGGAAAAUGUGGAACUACUAAUUUGUUACCCAUAUUCUAGCCCAGUUCAGACCCAAUUGGGGCCCAGGUAAAUAUUCCUGAAAGCACCCUAGUGGGCCACAGAUGGGCCUCGUGUAAGUUAACCAUCUGGGCCCCACUGAAAACCCAGUCAGAGC